UUCGUGUUUCUUGUUUUGUUUUAUUUUUAGUUUAUUGAUUAAAUCACUUGCUUCCUGACUCUCAGUGAACUUGUUACAGAAUAACGCCUCACCUAAGGGAUGCAUCAGGGAGUGUUUUUUGUUUUGGUGGGAAUGACGUCGGGUCCGGCAGCCGCUACAGGCUCCCCUUCCUCAGCCGAUCUGUCAGGUUCCCGCGCCCCAGCCGGCGACAGGCUCUCAUGCCUCAGAUAGAUCGCCAGGCUCCCCUGCCUCAGCCGAUCUGUCAGGUUCCCGCGCCCCAGCCGGCGACAGGCUCUCAUGCCUCAGACAGAUCGCCAGGCUCCCCUGCCUCAGCCGAUCUGUCAGGUUCCCGCGCCCCAGCCGGCGACAGGUUCCCGUGCUUCAGCAGGAGUGACCGGUCUGCUCCUGAUCCCCAGAAUCAUCCCUUUGGUGUCCGGGAGAGGGUACUGUCAUGUGUGCUCCCUCUCCGACCUCUAAGUCACCAGGCUGCUCGUUAUGGCGCACACCUGUCAAAAUCGUUAUGCGCACCUACGCGUCCUCAGACUCACCUGG
ensembl:lncRNA